UACGGAGGGUUCAAGCGUUGUUCGGAAUUACUGGGCGUAAAGAGCGCGUAGGCGGCAUAGCAAGUCAGAUGUGAAAGCCCUGGGCUUAACCCGGGAUGUGCAUUUGAUACUGCUAAGCUAGAGUAUCGGAGAGGUGAGUGGAAUUCCUAGUGUAGAGGUGAAAUUCGUAGAUAUUAGGAGGAACACCAGAGGCGAAGGCGGCUCACUGGCCGAUGACUGACGCUGAGGCGCGAAAGCGUGGGGAGCAAACAGG
rnacentral:misc_RNA from 1 species